UAGCCCUAGUAGACGCACGACAUUUCCCUUCAUCCUAGAACUUGGAGGUAAGUUAAUUUUAUCAUCAAGAAAGGUUAUCCCAAGAUAAAGUAAGUGGUUUUAACACCGAUUACUCGUUGAUGGUACCGAAUAGAAAUUUUCCCACGAAAACUUCAAAAUGAAUGUUUCUAUGAUUUCCAACAAGCGAAGGUAUGUUAAAUCUUUCCCCAUACCUUCUUCCACGAGCUCUUAUGAGUAUUCUGCAUAUAUUCUAUGUGUAGGACUCACAGGGCAGUGAUUCAAAGUUGUGAGUCCAAAUCUUGUUGGUUGUAUAUGAUAGAUGUUAUUGUUUUGUAUGAUAUGAAGUGCGUGAAGAGUUUUUAAUCUCAUAAGAAGAUUGUUUGACAUUGUAGUUAAGGCGGACGGAAGGGUGUGGAGACACAUCAUUAAAUUGAUUGUCUAGGGAGCUUGCCGCUCUUCGAAUUUAAAUAUUAUAACGAAAGGGAUGAUUCUCCGUAGUUGAUUUCAUAAUUGAGAAUCGAGGGGUGCUACGUUCACCUUGUAGGUAUACAGGCCCAAAAUGGCAGACCCUCCAAUUAGGCAUCAGUUGUGCUAUUCAGCUACUGUGGUGAUCCACGCUUACUUCUGGGGCCAAGUCUAGACUUUUGUUAUUGCGUGUAAUAGUUUUGGGUAAGUUCGAGGUCUUGUCACGUCACUUCUACGGUUUAGUUAAUCCUACAGGCUUCAUAGGUAUAUGUUGACACUUUCAGAUAUUUAGAGAUGUCUUGUUUUAGUCUUUAGUUGGGUUGUUUCGUUCUUUUAUACUCAAACGCUCAACUUUUGUUAUAUAUAGA